rnacentral:rRNA from 1 species
UACGGAGGGAGCUAGCGUUGUUCGGAAUUACUGGGCGUAAAGCGCACGUAGGCGGCUUUCUAAGUCAGGGGUGAAAUCCCGGGGCUCAACCCCGGAACUGCCCUUGAAACUGGAUGGCUAGAAUCCUGGAGAGGCGAGUGGAAUUCCGAGUGUAGAGGUGAAAUUCGUAGAUAUCAGGAGGAACACCAGUGGCGAAGGCG